AAAAAAAAGCGACUAGAAACUCCUAAAAUCAACAAAUCCAGAAAUCGAUUUCCAGCCCUUUUCAAGUUUCAAGCUCGCGAUUCCGAGGGGGAUAAAAUCGGAAUCGAACCGCCUAAAGAUCUUUCUCCUUCACAGCCUCCCUGACCCUCUCCCUCAGUUCUCGAUUCUCAGUCCUCGAUUCUCAGUCUCCCGCUCCCUCACAGCCUUCCUUUCCUUCUCCAUCUCGUGCGGUUAUCUUUCGUAGCAGAUUAAUAAUCGACACGUAGCAGUGGCUGCCUCGCCUUGUUGCAAUAUUAUUUCGUGGUUAGCUUUGCUCCUCUUUGGGUCUUCUCUUCCAUUCUUUACUUGUCGGCGAUAAUUCAAUUGGUCACUUGACGUCGCUUCUUGUUCCUUGCCGGCGAUAUCACAGUUCACAGAGACGGUUGGCCCCUCUUCCGGUUGUUCUUUGUUGCAGCUUCAAUUCGCGAUCUCCACUCCAAGAUUUGCCAUUCACCACGCCUAGAUUCAAUUUCAAAGAUGGAUUCAUCACAGAAUGCAACAGUGGGAAGUGGCGGCAAUGGCAUGUUGCCUACUCAAGUGAAUGAUACAGCAUCAGCAACAGCAGUAGAUGAUUCAAAGCAGAAUUUGAACCAGGUUAUUAACUCCAUCCAGAAGACUCUUGGCCUCCUCCACCAGCUUUACUUAACUGUCUCUUCCUUCAACACUGCCUCCCAGCUUCCUCUUCUCCAACGCCUCAAUGGACUUGUUGUGGAGCUAGACAAUAUGGUUAAAUUGUCUGAGAAGUGCAACAUUCAAGUUCCUAUGGAGGUCCUCAAUUUGAUUGAUGAUGGUAAGAAUCCAGAUGAAUUCACGCGUGAUGUUCUAAACAGUUGCAUUGCCAAAAAUCAGGUCACCAAGGGCAAAACUGAUGCGUUCAAGGGUUUGCGUAAGCAUCUUCUGGAGGAACUUGAACAGGCUUUUCCAGAUGAAGUUGAAUCAUAUAGGGAGAUACGUGCAAUUUCCGCUGCUGAAUCAAAACGACUUGCUCAAGCACAGAGUUCAUUACCCAAUGGAGAUGUGAAGGUUAAGACUGAGCUUUAAGGGUCAUGUCAUUGAUAAAUCAGCGUUAGACAAGCACAUGCUGUAUAGCAAGCAAGGGAAGGUGUGCAAAAGGCUGAUGUGGACGUGCAAAGCUAUGAAGUGAUAAUUCUAAAUUCAAGCAGGCUUAUGAAGGUUUCAUGAUCGUUGUACUUUAAAUACCCUGCAAGAUUACUAGAAGAGACGAUUGGAAUUUGAAAGUAUUGAAUUAAGUGGAUUUUUACUUUGAUAUAGAUGCUAGACGUGUACACUGUACACUAGAAGUUGAUAGUUCUAUGGAUUGAUGCAAGUGUUUCCACAACCGUACGCCUAUGGAUUAACUUAUAAAUUUUAUCCAGCCUGUAAUUUUAAGACUUGAUGUCGCGUGUUGCAUUGGUAUUUUCCAUUUCCCCAAAUGUCCCACACACUCCGGGAGGGUAAGUUACCACCUCUAGUGUGCCUGUACAUGGAUAAGCAAGUUUGUAUCUAUUAUCUAAGGAUGCUACUUCUGAGUUUAGAGCGCAUGACAGAUUGAUAACCGAAGCGAUAAGCAGCACCGUUUUAGAGCAAUAUUAUGAAGGUAUAAGCUCGUCUACAUUGUGUAUGAUGAUGAUAAAAACUUGGGAA
rnacentral:misc_RNA from 1 species